GUUUUAGUAUUUUAAUAAAAAUAAUAACCUUGUAAGUUAAAAUUAAGGAUUUUAGCCUUUUAAAACA
rnacentral:tRNA from 1 species